rnacentral:rRNA from 1 species
GAAUUACACGGCAGCAGCAUCAACACACACAAGAAGACAAAACAGUCAGCAGCGACAGAUUUUAGGCGAAUUCUACAAGCUGGGAAGGGGGUGAGUACGGCGUGGUAACAGGGGGGGUAGCCAGGGGUAAGGGUGGGACUCUCAUAUAUAAUUCCCGCAUAAGGCCUUUUACAUCCAGGUGGAUGUUAGAAAGUUCAGGCGCAUCAACACAAGAAGGACCUGAGUUGAUUAGUUAGUUGGUGGGGUAACGGCUCACCAAGGCAACGAUCAAUAGCCGACCUGAGAGGGUGAUCGGCCACACUGGGAAUGAGACACGGCCCAGACUCCUACGGGAGGCAGCAGUAGGGAAUUUUCGGCAAUGGGGGGAACCCUGAUCCAGCAACGCCGCGUGUGUGAAGAAGGUUUUCGGAUUGUAAAGCUAUGUUGUUAAGGAAGAAAAGGUGUGAGAGUGGAAAGUUCUCACAGGACGGUACUUAACCAGAAAGGGACGGCUAACUACGUGCCAGCAGCCGCGGUAAUAGUAAGGUCCCAAGCGUUGUCCGGAUUUAUUGGGCGUAAAGCGAGCGCAGGCGGUUAGAUACGUCUGAAGUGAAAGGCAGUGGCUCAACCAUAGUAGGCUUUGGAAACUGUUUAACUUGAGUGCAGAAGGGGGGAGUGGAAUUCCAUGUGUAGCGGUGAAAUGCGUAGAUAUAUGGAGGAACACCGGUGGCGAAAGCGGCUCUCUGGUCUGUAACUGACGUUGAGGCUCGAAAGCGUGGGGAGCGAACAGG